rnacentral:tRNA from 1 species
CAAACUAUAGUAUAAAUA